CUUUACUGAAGAAAGAAAAGGAAAGCAAUCAUAAAAAAACAAAAUUGUUUUUAAUGUACAUUUGCUGAAUGUACUGAUUGUUUCUUGCAAGUUCUUGUAUCUAUUAUGGAGUUGAGGUAAUUUGAUCAGCUAAAAAUACAUUUGUUCCAGGAUAAAUAUGAAAAGGUCAAUACCAGUUGACAGUAUCAAAAAUCAGUGGUGAGCUUUCCGAGUAUCGUAAUGUGCAUCUAACGGUUGAUUGGAUUGCAUGGGUAGAGAAUGGCCCUCGGUCAUUUUCCCCCCGUUUGUUAAAUUUGUAUUCUGCUCUGAUAACAGUCUCUGCUAUAUAAAUAAAGAAGCAGGGGUGUUAUCCCAGAUCCGCAUCAUCCUCCAAUCAGUCGUAGCAGUAUUUAAGAGCAUGCUGCCAUCAUCAUAUUGUGGUAUAUGGUAAAUGGACUGCUUUUAUAUAGCGCUUUUAUCCAAAGCGCUUUACAAUUGAUGCCUCACAUUCACCAGAGCAAUUAGGGGUUAGGUGUCUUGCUCAGGGACACUUUGACAUGCCCAGGGCGGGGGAUCGAACCGGCAACCCUCCGACUGCCAGACAACCGCUCUUACCUCCUGAGCUAUGUCGCCCCCCAUAUGUUGCAUAAUCUUCCUCUGUGAAUGUCACUAGUAUCGGUUUCAGUUUGUAAGGCAGUUAUGCUGACACAGCAAAAAAACCUAAGUGAUUGGAAAAGUUGAGGUAAAAGCACUCAGGAAAAUUGCAGAGGAAAUAGGUGUCAGUAGUGCACAAAUGCAAUGAAACCUGCCUAGGUGGUCCCUAGGUGGCAGUCACCUGUACACGAUGCCCAUUUUUCAUUUCUCCCAUGGGUGGCCGCUUUUGACUGGUUUCAUUGUAUAUAGUUUCUGAAAAUGUAUUGUAUGUGCUGAAAUUUGUAUUUACCUAUUUGAUGCCAAGAAAGAUGGAGGAUUGUUGCCAGUGAUCUUCAAUGCUGAAAAAGAAAAAGAAGAAAUAAAUAAAUGUGUGUAUAUACUGAUCAUUCCAACCUAUAUGUUUUUGUUGUGUCUAAGUUUUGACUCACAUCCUCCACCCUACUCCAAAUAAACAUGUGCACAUGCUAAACCACUGUCUUCAUUGUUUGGCUUCUGCUAUCCUUUUUGCAUUGCACAUGAUGCUCAAAUUGCUGCUCAAUUGCAGAUUACUAACAGUGCAAAAAACACUAAAGUAUGCCUUUCUGGUCUUUUGCUGAAACAACUUCAGCCUCAAUCCCACAUAAGCAUCAUUUCAGUAUAUAUAGUAUAGACAGCUCAUUAUAUGGAUGCUUGAAGGUAUAGGGAACUCCAUAGUAUCCCUUCAUCAGUUUGCAGAUAGGAAGUUCCAGACACCCCAGGUAUUACGCCUCACUGACACAGGGACACCCUGACCCUGCUCAAAAGCUUUCUUAAACCUACCCUCCAUUUAUCUACACACUCCCCUCUUCAUUCUCACUGCACCAACACAGACACACACGCUUUUAUACGUAUGCGUAUAUGUGCAAAUGCUUUUUUAAAUUAUUUAUAUAAUUGUAAGUAGAAGAAGUAGCCAUAUUAGUAUUUAGGCCUUGGUUUUUGGGGAAUGAUCUUCAAUGAUAUCCAACAUAGCCACAGACACAGAUUAUGGCUAUUUGUGCACUAACCUAUCAAACAGAGAACAUGAUAAAUCUCCCUAAACGGGAGAAAUAUCAAAACCCCCAAACAGCAGGCCAUCCAAGUGCCUAACCCUAAACUAUGUGUAUAGGAGAGCACCUGCUAUUUCUUGAAAGUUUGGGACCACAGUGAUAUCCCUCUUGACCACACUGGGGUCGGAAAAGAACAUGCCACCUUUAAAUAGAGGCAGUGCCCAGCUACUACCUGAAAUGGGCAUGGGAACCUUAGGAGCUGCUGCAGUAGCUGCAGGAAUCCUGAAGGAGUGGGCAGUUGUAACAGCUAUGAGGCUGCCCUUAGCUUUGGCAGAGAAGACGGGGUUUAGCACAGAACCGGGGACUGAACGUGGUGUUGCUGGCAUCAAACAUGGACAGAAGCUCAUGAGGAGCUGCAUACUGAAGAUGAAACUGAAUGCCUGCUAUAAUGCCAUUGAUAGAGAAGAGCUGAAUUUUACAAGAAUGUAAGCAGUCUAGUCUACUAGGUAUGAAAGUGCAUACUAUGGGAGUGCUCCCGAGAGAGGUGAAACAGAAAAGGCGGCACAGAAAUGGGAGAAGAAGGACUAUGCAGGGUCAAAAGGCUUUAAUGAUGACUUCACUAUCCCUGACCUCAUGUAGUUAGCUCCCGGAGACAAAUAAGUUAACAGAGAAAGUUUUUGACACAGAAUAAUCUGGCUGAAGGCUGGGAAGUCCAGAUCUGUAGGCCUGGCCCCUGUGCACAGAGCAUGGAUAUCCUGAAAGACUUAGUUAGUGAAAUGCAAAAUCGCAUGCAAAGAUACAAAUUAGCAAAAAUAAUUUAGCCUGCAAUAUUUAAAUAUUUGUGAAAUGUAAAUAUGGCCAGUCGACAUUAGUCUGUUUUUAGUGGUACUUUUCCCAAAAGGAAUCAGCAGUGCAAAUGGUAUGUAAUACACCCAAUUAAUGUUCUAAAGCAGAAUGCGCAUCGAUUAAGUUAGGCUUCCUCAGGGAUCACAUGAACAUUAGCAACAUUAAUAGUGAUCUAAAAAACCAAGAUUGUCAUUGGGUGCUAACAAUGUUAGCUAGCAACAACUGGUUGGAAAGAUUACGAAUAAAAACCAUUUUAUGUCAACCAAUGACAACCAAGCACUGAGGAUAAAUAAAUGUCUGAGUUACACAGCCAGUUCUUUUAUUUUAAAUAACCAAGCACAUUUUUUUGAGUUAGCGCAAUACUUCUCUGAGCAGCAAUCCCAGGAGCUGCAAUGGCGGGGUCAGACUGUCAGUCAAAAAAGGCGCUCCAUUUGUAAUGUGUAUAUGUGAUUGGUUCAGUAUUAGAACAUGCGGUGAUGCAUGUGUGAGCAGUUCAAUAUGAGAACAUAUGGUCGGCUGCAACAAGAGUUUCCUGACUGAUCUCGCGCUGUGCAUUUCAUGUGCAUUGCUCAUUUAGAGCCAUCUAUUGCUCACAUUGUUGUUCAGUUGCAAGACAAACCCAAAGAGAUUAUGGUGACCCUUUGCCACUUUUUUGGAUACAGAAUUAAAUUUUGUCUUUCCAACAACAUCGGAACCGUCAUUUUGUACAAUAGAGAAGUGCAUGAGUGAUAAUAUGGAAUGGAAAUUAAGAAAAAGUCUGACACUAAGCAAUUGAGUUUACAGAAUUCUCUAUUGUAGGUAUAUAACUAGUUAUAUGACAUUACACAUUUAAUAUUACAAAAGAAUAUUGCAUUCACAUAUCUUCAGGGGUUAGUAACUUUAUGUGUGAUUAAGUAAAUCAUCCAACAAACACCUCUUUGGCUAUACAAUAAAUGUCACUCACCUGUACUGGGUGGGUGCCAGUCAGUCCCUUGGGGAGUCAGGGCUGCAUCUUUUAUAGAGAGACUUGUCUUCAUUCAGCAGAACUAGGCAACUCAAUAUGGUCAUGCAUAGUGCCUCCAGCAGCAUCAUAUGCCUCUAGCAUCAGCAAUGACAUUUUUAUAGUUAAGUCACAGGUAAUUAGCUCUUUAGUUAAGCUGGAAAUGAUACGUGCUGUUGAUAGGAUUGAAAAAACUAUUGUAUAAAUGCUGAUGUACCUCAUUCCAACCCCCUAAUGAAGAACACCUGGUUUUUCUUAUGGUGGGAAAAUGAUGAUGGAAAGUUAUAGAUAAAAUAUUUAUUUAUGGGCAGUUGUAUGUUCUAUGAUUUAAUGUUCUAAUGUUUGGUUGUCUGGAGCAACACAUUUUCAGGCAAUCUUUUAUGGUCCUAAAUUUAGAUCUGUGUUUUUAAUGAGUUCUGAUAAUGAACAUGAGCCUAGCUUAGUUGUGAGAGAGAUGCCCAAAUGUCACUGGUAUACUAUUUCAGAUCGUCUGCAAGUCUUACAUAUUUACAAGUCCUUGGAAUGACUGAGUGUAAUUACAUCUCACAAGUGUGCAGCUGAGCUGAUUUCAGGAUGUUAAACAUACACAGCCAAAAGUUAUUUUCCACAAACAAAUUAAUAUUUAUAGAGCAAAUAAAGUUUUAUUACUGUUUGUUUAAGGGUGAAAUAUAGUACACGCACAAUUAAAUACACGACACACGCUUUUCCUUACCCUUUUUCCUUUGUCUGUUUUAUGCAUAUUACAAAAAAAAAUAAUUGUCUGAGAAUUCUGACUACUUACUGCUUGAGUAUAUAUGGCUGAAUAGGAUUAUUUAAUCCUUAACAGAAAAAUGAUGUAAAUAAAACAGAUUGAGAACAGAUUUUCUUUAGCUUCAGAUCUGGAUAAUAUUGGUGUGUAGAAUAUAAAGGGGAAUGAAUGCUAAAAAAAAAAAACAUUUAAAAUUUUAAAAUGUUUGGAAUACUGGCGAUUAGUUGGUCAGCUAGACAUAGUAAUGGGCUAAUUAAGGAACAGAGUCUUUCUAAAAAAUGUUUUACUUUUGUCUUAAAAAAGAAUGUGUAAUUGUUAUUACAUUUAUAUUGCAGCCUUCAAUUCAUAACCUCUUUUUUUAUUUUACUUCUGAAGGUAAACUCACCAGUUUUUUUCCCUUUUGUGUUAUAAAGUCGCUCUAUAAAUAAGUAAGACUACGAGCUAUGGUACUAGAGUACUACAGUAACUCCAUAAUUGUUUAAGAAUAGCUAAAUUCAUUAACACCCCAAAGCUCUAUCGAUAUUCAUGAUAUGAUACAGGUUUGAGCUCCAUAUUACUUUCAUUAAGUGAAGCCAUCCAUAGACUCAGAAAUGUACAAGACUGUUUAAAUAGAAAACUUAAACAAUGUAUAUGUGUAUUUUCCAGCAAGAUGAAGUUAGUUGGUCACAAAGCAAUAAGAGUCCCAUUUGUGAACUUAGCUAAGAUUCACACAGAAUCUUGAUGAUUUAGCCUUCUUUUGUUUUUUUAACGGUUCUUUCCUUUGCACCUAUACAUGAAAUACUGGACAGCCCACUUUAAAGAUCUGGACAUUGAGCCAAGGAGGUUUAAUGUCUCACUUUUUUAUCAUGGGUCAUUGCUUAUAAAGUUUCUGUAUAUGUAUAUGCUUGUAAUAGUUUAACUCACAAUGAUUCACGGUAUCUUGAUCCGAUCAUUUGUAACAUAUUUCUCAAAAAAUUAUCAACUGGAAGUUAAGAAAUUUAGUUAAAAGACCAAACUGUGUUGGUGUGAAAGGUGCUCAUUAUGUUUGUGUUGUUUUAUUGCCCCCAUUUCCUUAUGAAAAGUUUUAUAAAUGGCCUCCAUUAUGCUAACAGAAGCUCUUUUUUAUUUUAUUGAUACAGGUGGCUGAAAGACCACUUGGGAUGAAUCUGACGUGUUUGAAAUUUAGUGUAGAUCAGGCUAGUAGAAGCAAGAACAAUCGCCAUGGGACAACCCAAAAGAGUCAAGUACUGCUUCGGAGCUCCCAGCAUUCUGCAUUUAUGAAGAAAUGAGCAGGGCAUCCGAUUCCCCAGGUUAACAUGGGUUGUUCUUUCAGCCAGGUUGCAUUUUUAGUUGACUUGUUUAAGUUUGAAUUUUAGAGAGGGGACUGGAGACUUCUAUGGGUCAAAGGAUUAAUUGUGACUUCAUGUUCCUGUCGACAUACUCCAAGUUUACAAAACAUUCUUUCUUCACAGCUCCAGUUCUCUCUGCUCUCUGGAUGUGCACAAGUACAUAUACUCAAUGAAAUUAAAAUGCAGCAAAUUUUGCUUAAACAAAAUAACAUUGCUUAAUUCUUAGGCUCACAUUAUAAGCCUAUUAAUGUUCAAAGUAGAAUGCCAAGGGAGUCCACACACACUAGAAAUGCCCACUGAGAGCAAUUAUUUACUGGCAGUGUUUUAACACACUCUAAGAUACAUGUGCUGUUACUGUACAUUGGCAGUAGUAGAUAGGGCAUUUAAAUUCCGACAUGUAAGAAUGUGGGCUCAUAUAUUUAGUAUAUACGACAGUUGAUACUAUAUCCGCAGCAGUUGUUUCAGCAAACACAAUUAUAGCUUGCUCAGCCACACUCUCAGUACAUUGCUAUUUAUCACUGGGUCUACAGUGUAGUGCAUGUAUAAAAGCAAUAUUAUGUUAAAAUGAUAUUGAGGCCAUUUUUAUAUUGCUCUGUACUGUUGAUGACAUUGUGAUAAUGCAUUGUUCAGAUUCCAUUUACCAUAAGCACACAUUUGAUUCGAAAUUCAAAUUGAAUAUCGAAAUAAAUUGCUACAAUUAUAUAGACUGAGCUCCAUAAUAUUAGGGACAAAGACAUAUUUUUCAUUGAUUUGGCUCUGUACUCCAUAAUUUUAUAUUUGUAAUCAAACAAUUCACAUGUGGUUAAAGUACAGAUUUGUAGCUUUUAUUAAAGUGUAUUGUUAUACAAUUAGGUUUUACCAUGCAGAAAUUACAGCACUUUUUAUACAUAACCCCCCUCCCCCCCAUUUCAGGGUGCCAUAAUGUUUGGGACAAAUGGUUUAAUCAUUAUUUUUAAUUAGUUAGGUGUGUUCAAUUGGCAUAGAAUUAACAUUUUAACAUUCUUGAUUUCUUUUAUCUAGAUUUAAGGAUAGGUUUUUCAAGGAGCAGGGGAAUCCUGAUAUAUGUUUACACUUACAUGAUCAAGCUUGCAAGUGUGGUUUGUAUAGGCUAAUAUCAGUAUGGUAAUGUGUUUAAAUUUCUUUGUUCUUAGCUUCCAAAGCUGUUAGAGAAUCAUUCAUUCUCUGUAGCAAACACACAUAUUACUGACUACUAAAAGAGUAGGAUUAGUACUUUUCAUACUGGGUGCUCAAAGCACUUUCCAAAUAAGACAAAAGGAAAACAGCUGGGCUGUCCCCACCACCAGAAUGCAUCUGUGCUCUGUGCCCUGUUUACUGCAUUCAUUCCACCACAUUAUCUUCCUGCCUGGCUCAAAUUACAGUUUUGUGGUCAAGUUGUCCUACCCUUCUGGCUCCAAUGACCCAAAGGGUGAUUUCUACAGACCUUCAAGGCCCAGAUUCAGGGUACCAGCAGGAGCAGGGUCAAGUACGUAAUUUACGACGGGGACGGGGGGUAUAGAGGGGUUACAACCCCUUCAAUAUUACAAAAUAGGCCAAAAUAACCCUGCAACAAUGUAGCAUGAUGAUUAGAAAAAUAAAUUCAUAGAAUAAAGGUGGGUAUUUGAUGACGUGAUUGAGGUAUACUGGUAAGGCUGGGUGUUUAUCAUGGAAAUCGCACGUGCCAUGGAUUCCGUUCCGACACAUUUUUUUCACUUCUAGGAUUUCCUCUGUUUUUUGUGCUUUCCAUGAGUUUGUCACCCUUAACAUGGCUUAUAGUGUUAUUUGUGUAGGCUAGGUCUAUGCAUUUUAAUAAUAGCCUUUUGCCAAAUGCUGGGAAAACAAAUAGCAACAAUGUAUACAGAUUCUGAAAUGUGAGAUCAAGAUUCUCGUCCUUGUCAGUUGUUCCAAUCAGAUGUUUGGCCUGUAAACAGUGAUAAUGCCCAGCGCUCCUUCCCCAUCAUGUUAAUAUCUGUGACAACAGGCUCUCAUCAAAAACCCAAACCUUGCAAUGUACAACAUAUUGUACCAAGAGAACUUUAAAGAAAUUAAAACGGACACACAGUAGCCUAACCCUAUUUUAUUAGCAAUGUAAUUUGAGCAUGCUCUAUUUCUAACUACGUUCUGUUCAUUUAAAGGCAAAAAAACAUUCUGUCUGCUGUUGUUGCUGUUGCUACAAUUGCACGUUAUUCUAGUUGUUUCCCACAGUUGUGCCUGAGAUGUGUUAAUCAAUUUAAUAAAUGAACAUUUUUUAAA